GGAGGGUGCGAGCGUUGUCCGGAAUCACUGGGCGUAAAGGGCGCGUAGGCGGCCUGGUAAGUAGGAGGUGAAAUCCUGCGGCUUAACCGCAGGGCUGCCUUCUAAACUGUCAGGCUCGAGCACAGUAGAGGCAGGUGGAAUUCCCGGUGUAGCGGUGGAAUGCGUAGAGAUCGGGAAGAACAUCAGUGGCGAAGGCGGCCUGCUGGGCUGUUGCUGACGCUGAGGCGCGACAGCGUGGGGAGCAAACAGGAUUAGAUACCCUGGUAGUCCACGCCGUAAACGAUGGGCACUUAGGCGUCGGGGGGAGCGACCCUCCCGGUGCCGUCGCUAACGCAGUAAGUGCCCCGCCUGGGGAGUACGGCCGCAAGGCUG
rnacentral:rRNA from 1 species